CACAGGAAACAGCCAUGUCUUAUUGCUUUUAUGGAUUUAUAGAAAAUUGAGAUCAUACAACAUACUCAAAAUCUCUAUAAACAGCGAUCCAAACUGGGACCCCUUGAGCUCUCCCGGGCAGCAGCAAGCUGUGACCAGCAAUGUCCCUCUGAGUGGGACACCUCUCAGAGCCAGAGAACUCUCAAGUUUGCUAUACUUGGAUGAUCACUGAACAAUGACAGCAGAUCCUGGACUGAUACCCUGACUCCUCAAGACUCAACCCUUCGCCUGUUGAAAAGAUGCAAAGGCAUCUAAGUACUUCACUGAAUCCGAGGACAAUUUUUCAAGUGUAUACCUUGUACAGGCUCUUUAUGUCUGUGUGCAUGCAAGCAUGAGUAUGCCAUAGCAAAUGUACCAGGAAUGUUGCUCCCCUGGAUUCUUAAGUAUUUUAGUUUUGUAGUAAGUUAGGCCUGUAAGUGAGUUACUGUUAUGCUAUAGUAAAUUCUAUAUGAAUCCUUUGCCAAGUUGUUUAUCUUAAGUGCAGUUAAGGUUAAGUGCUUUUGGACCUUUAGGUCCAAAACUGUUCGUCAAGUCAGGGCUCAGUUUAGCACAAGAGUCUACUCUGAACCUUGUGACCCAACAGGAGGGUCUUCCAUAUUCCUUUUUUUCCUUGCCCUUUCCUAUUCUUUUCUUCCUUACCCAUUCCUAUCCUUUUCUUCCCUGACCUACCCCCCUGCCCUAUCCCUCAGCCUCCACAUAGAUGGUUUUGGGUUUACUUUGGUUUAGAUUGAUUUAUUUUGGAUUUUUGGUUUGCUUUUGUCUGUGUACUUAAACCAUCUAGUAAGUAGUAGAGUGAACCUUGCCUAUGAGCUUUGUUGUGCUUUUGCUUUUAUAUUAAACCUGUUUUUGCUGA